rnacentral:rRNA from 1 species
AUGGCUGACCUGCCCAAUCGCCGAUGGAUUCCUUCUCCAAACAGUACAAUGGCCACUCCCGCUCUGCCUCAGACCUCCCUUCUCCCCCACACGGCGAAUGUCCUGCUCCCUACCACGCCCAUACCGUUCUUUCUCCCCUGGAUGCAUCUGGUCUCUCUUCAAUUACAGGUCAGCACCAGCGCUGCAAACAAAAAAAGGUCAGCAUCUGGUCCUCCAGAAGUUCAGUGUGUUGAUUUUUUGAAGAUCAUGAAGUGGACUAUAACUAUGUAUAUUUUGCAGGGCCUUGUGAUAGGGCAUCCAUCUUUUUUCAUCGAGGUCGACAUCGUCCAUCUGCGUCGAGGCCACCCUGCCAUUGUAAAAUUCUGCUCUCAAAGGUGUCUGUUAUUGUGUAGUUUCAGAAAUCCUUCAGGAAAAAAUGCAAAAGAAAAAUGGAGCAGGAGUCACAGGCCUCAAGCCCUCUCUCCACUUCGUGGCUUCUUGUUCUCAAAGCACAAGUUGCUACUGCUACUAUUAGUAAAUUGCUUCUGCUCACUAUAA